UACGGAGGGUGCGAGCGUUAAUCGGAAUAACUGGGCGUAAAGGGCACGCAGGCGGUUUUUUAAGGGAGGUGUGAAAUCCCCGGGCUUAACCUGGGAAUAGCAUUUCAGACUGGGAGACUAGAGUACUUUAGGGAGGGGUAGAAUUCCACGUGUAGCGGUGAAAUGCGUAGAGAUGUGGAGGAAUACCGAAGGCGAAGGCAGCCCCCUGGGAAAGUACUGACGCUCAUGUGCGAAAGCGUGGGGAGCAAACAGG
rnacentral:rRNA from 1 species